rnacentral:piRNA from 1 species
UGAAACAGACUGUUCAUCAAGGCCC